GACAGAGGCCUCAAGCGUUAGGCGGAAUCACUGGGCUUAAAGCGCGUGUAGGCGGGUCGGUAAGUCUGCUCUGAAAGUCCAAGGCUCAACCUUGGGAUGCGGGUGGAUACUGCCGACCUCGAGUCCGGAAGAGGCGAGUGGAAUUCCUGGUGUAGCGGUGAAAUGCGCAGAUAUCAGGAGGAACACCAAUGGCGAAGGCAGCUCGCUGGGACGUGACUGACGCUGAGACGCGAAAGCGUGGGGAGCAAACAGG
rnacentral:rRNA from 1 species